rnacentral:rRNA from 1 species
UACGUAGGGUGCGAGCGUUAAUCGGAAUUACUGGGUGUAAAGGGUGCGCAGGCGGACUGGUUAGUCUGGGGUGAAAUCUCAUCGCUCAACGGUGAAACUGCCUUAGAUACUGCCAGUCUUGAAUUAGGGAGAGGUUCGUGGAAUUCCGAGUGUAGCAGUGAAAUGUGUAGAUAUUCGGAAGAACACCAGUGGCGAAGGCAGCGAACUGGCCCUUAAUUGACGCUCAGGCACGAAAGCAUGGGGAUCAAACAGG